rnacentral:lncRNA from 1 species
CCCGGGGGUAGAGGCCGCACGGGGCCCCCGGAGGGGUCCGCCCUGGCCGCCCCCUAUGCUGCCACCUGAUUAGUCCUGUCUUGUUCUCUCCUGGAGUCCGGGGCUUUCGGAAGCCAACAUGGAAAUGUGGGCAGAUCGGAUGCAAAUGUGACCCCCGAGCCAAGAAUCUACUUCUUUUCUGUUAAAAUUCAAGAUGGGGAGGGAGCCUGCGGGGCAAAGGCGCCAGGAGGGUCAGGAACCGAGGUCACACAACCCUAGACGGAGAGUGAGGAUUGAGCAUCGCGGAGUGAAAACGGCCUCAGAGAAGACCCGCUGCGAACCAAGAGGUGAAGGAGAGGACAAAGCACUGGAUUUAAGGUGUUGUAAACAUCAACUGAUUGACUUCAGCCAUGCCAUCCCUGUGCCUCAGUUUCCACGUGUGGGGAAGGACGGCUAGUUCUCUGACUCACGGCCGUCAAAGCCCCAGCAAAAUGAUUUUGCAGCCUUCUGGACACACCUUAUCUCAAUGGUCUUCUGGAUCUGUACUUCGCUGACAUGCUUAGGAAUUCGCUCCUGCUCCUGCUCCACAGCAAACAACGGAGCCUCGCUCAGUUUCUAGCUGGUUGGUAUGAGCUCAGGACAUUGUCACUUCUAAACACUGUGGGGAAAAGAAGGGCUCUUUCAAGCAUCCCAGCCUGUAAUUUUUCAUUUCACGACUUUUGGUUUCUAUCUGUAAGCCAGACCUUUUGGAAUCUUAUUCCCAGACCGAUCCAAUCUAUCUAAAUAAACCAGAGCAUUGGGGGCCUUGAUUGUCUCUUCUAGGCAGCUAGCUGGUUUUUGACGGCUCAUCAUUCUUUGCUGCUGCUUUCUUUGUUCUGGAUCGACCCUCACAAUGAACGGCUUCUCCUUUGGAAGCCCUACCUGCCCUCUGACUGUGCUUGGGUGGGAAGGGCAGGGUUGCUGGCUUGGUUUAUUUCCUUAUCUCCUGCAGAGCUGUUGUCAAAUUCUUCUCCAGAGUCCAGAAACCCUGGAUCACUGAGUUAGCCUCCUGCCAGCUCUAGAAUGGCCACACUAGCACCAGCCCUGUUCGUCAUCCUGGUGAGUCUUCCCGUGUGUUUUCUUUGCUACUUUUUUUUUUCCAGUUUGCCA